rnacentral:lncRNA from 1 species
AAUAUCUGACAAAUGGACUUUGGGGUCUCUCAUUAGUUGCUUAUAUGAAUCAGCAGCCAAGGUUUUUCUCAUCUGUAAGAAAUGGACAUUCCCACGUACCUCGCCGCUCUUGUACUAUGGUUUGAUGACCUAUGAUGUAAGACAGUGCACAGCAUGGGGCCCACUCUGCUAAGGACUUCCCAUAAAUGAGGAUUGAGAAGCACAAGCGUCACUCCGUGAGAGGUGGGUUUAUGUGCUCACAAUGAGUGACUCAGUGCCAGGCUUUGACAGGACAGUCAGAGCUAAAAUUCUGUUUCUGCUAGAUGAUUAAUACAGACAGGUCACUGGGUAGAAACCCAGGCCGGGUUAGGGUCAGAGCAGAGGGGAGUGGGAAGCCUCCUUUCUGGAGUGUCAAGUCUCAGUGCUGACCAUGGGACUUGCAUCUGCUCUUCUGGACUAUGGUUUCACGUGUUCUUGCAUCAGUUUCUGGGCAACAAAACAACUCUCAUUUCCUGUUAUUUCCACAGCAGAGGUCAGCAUGCCAGACAAAGAGGAUACUGGUAGCAAUGAUGAUGAUGAGGAGGAGGAGGAGGACAGCGACGAUGACAAAGACGAUGACUAUGAUGAUACCCAGAAAUCUGAAAUCAAGAAGGGCCCACAGUUCGAGGACUGAGUGAAAAUAUUUCCUUGGAUUAAGGUUAAUUGUAGGAGACUUUGGAGGGUAAUGCAAAGCCUGCACUAAGAAGAAAC